rnacentral:rRNA from 1 species
UACGGGAUGCAGCAGUAAUGGCAUCUAUCGCCAUGAUCGUACGUUCGAACCGAGCCAUCGCCUGCGUGAAGUGAUGUAUGUUUCGCAUCGUCAAUGCUCUGUGGUAGGAAAGACCAAGUACCGCUCGAUAGGGCGUACCUUGACGGUACCUAACCAGAAGCCACGACUACUACGUGCCAGCAGCCGCGUAAUUACGUAGGUGGCAAGCGUUGUCCAGAAUAUUGGGCAGUAAAGGGCUCGCCGGCCUGCUUCAUUAAGUUUGAUGUGAAAGCCCCGCCGGCCUCCAACCGCGGAGGGUCAUUGGAAACUGGGGAACUUGAGUGCAGAAGAAGGAGAGUGGAACUCCCACGUGUAGCGGUGAAAUGCGUAGAGAUGUGGAGGAACACCAGUGGAGAAGGCGACUCUCUGGUCUGUAACUGACGCUGAGGAGCGAAAGCGUGGGGAGCGAACAGGAUUAGAUACCCUGGUAGUCCACGCCGUAAACGAUGAGUGUAAGUGUUAGGGGGUUUCCGCCCCUUAGUGCUGCAGCUAACGCAUUAAGCACUCCGCCUGGGGAGUACGGUCGCAAGACUGAAACUCAAAGGAAUUGACGGGGGCCCGCACAAGCGGUGGAGCAUGUGGUUUAAUUCGAAGCAACGCGAAGAACCUUACCAGGUCUUGACAUCCUCUGACAAUCCUAGAGAUAGGACGUCCCCUUCGGGGGCAGAGUGACAGGUGGUGCAUGGUUGUCGUCAGCUCGUGUCGUGAGAUGUUGGGUUAAGUCCCGCAACGAGCGCAACCCUUGAUCUUAGUUGCCAGCAUUCAGUUGGGCACUCUAAGGUGACUGCCGGUGACAAACCGGAGGAAGGUGGGGAUGACGUCAAAUCAUCAUGCCCCUUAUGACCUGGGCUACACACGUGCUACAAUGGACAG